rnacentral:rRNA from 1 species
UACGAAGGGUGCAAGCGUUACUCGGAAUUACUGGGCGUAAAGCGUGCGUAGGUGGUUUGUUAAGUCUGAUGUGAAAGCCCUGGGCUCAACCUGGGAAUUGCAUUGGAUACUGGCAGGCUAGAGUGCGGUAGAGGAUGGCGGAAUUCCCGGUGUAGCAGUGAAAUGCGUAGAGAUCGGGAGGAACAUCUGUGGCGAAGGCGGCCAUCUGGACCAACACUGACGCUGAGUGAGCGAAAGCCAGGGGAGCAAACGGG